CUUUUCUUCCCUCCCUCAAAUGACGUAAACAAAGGAAGUGGAAACGGUUUGGGAUUAUUUUAAACGGAACUGCAUGUUAGAGAGUUUCUCCUAUGCAAUUCAAAGGAAGAACUGAAGAAAGCCAGAUUGGACCUUUAGUUCCACCAAGAACCAGUUGGUAAUGGAUAAUAUCUAAUUUGUUAGCUAAAUCUCAGACGUCAUAGAUGGAAGUUUAUUUUGGGCAAAGCAAGUCAGAGUCCUAUUCUGUGAAUCUUUGGGGGGGGGGGAGGCUUGCUUAUGGACAUCCAAACAGAAUGCCCAGAUAAUCUUUCUCCAUUUUAAAUAAAUAUGUGCUGAAUCCCAAGAAUCUAUUCAAAGAAGUAAUAAGAAAUUACCUGGAACUGGGACAAAAUGAGUCCUAGAUAGAACAUUUAAGAACUCCUCACCCAGACAACCUAGAGGAUAGCAGGUUAUAGUGGCAACAUACUAUAAUUAUUUCUGAUUGGGGAAUUCUGGGAAAAAAGAUCUUGCAAGCAGAAUUUUACACUUUAGAAUAGAAACCUGCAGAAUUAUGUCAUUGUGUUUGUUUGUUUGUUUGUUUGUUUACAUUCUCAGUAAUUGCGAUUUCUCACAUAGCUUUUUAACUUCAUUCCCAGAUUCUCGGGUUUUCUUUUAAACAAUCAAGUAAAUCUACCCCAAAACGUAUUGAAAAAUAUAGUAUAUAUAAAUUCAAUUGUAAGCUGAUCUGAAGGAUCUGAAAUAAAAAUCUCCUAAUUUGAGGGGCUGCCACGAAGAAGAGAGGGUCAACCUAUUCUCCAGAGCACUAAAAGGCAAGACAAGAAACAAUGGAAACUAAUCAAAGAGAGAAGCAACCUAGAGUUAAGGAGAAAUUUCCUAACAGUGAGAACAAUUAACCAGUGGAAUGACUUGUAUUCAGAAGUUGUGGGUGCUCCAUCACUGGAAGCUUUUAAGAAGAGACUGGACAGCCAUUUGUCUGGAAUGGCAUAAGGUCUCCUGCCUUAACAGAGGGUUGGACUAGAAGACCUUCCAACUCUAUUAAUUGUAUCUGGAUUGCUGUCUAGAUCAGGGACGUCAAACUUGAUUUCAUUGAGGGCCACAUCAGGAUUGUGUUUGACCUCAGAGGCCAUGUGUGUCUGUGUGGCCGGUGCUGGGCGUGUCCAUGGUGGGUGUGGCUGGGUGGGCAUGUCCAUGGUGGGCGUUUGACACAGGCUCAAGAUGUGUUUUUUUCCAUUCUUUCUUUCCGCAGUUCUUUACUAUAACCAUUUUCGUAUCUCUUCUAUCAGAUAUUAUGGGCAAACAUUUAUUACUUAUUAUUCAUACUCCACUAAACUUUUUAUUUCUAAAUUUAUACCCCAUUGUUUAAUAGUAAAUUGCUUUUCCUGGCAGAAAAGCUAUUUAUACUAUUGUAUUUUUAUUAUUCAACUAAUAAUAAAAAUACAAUAGCAUAAACAACAUGAUAAUACAAGAACUUACAGUAGAGGUAAAUUUCCAAGAUAGUAAAUAGAAAUGGCUGUCAAUUAUAGAUCGUUGAUUGUAGAUUAAAUGGACUGCAGGCCAGUCCUUUAAUAUUUCCAGGCUGGCCCCACGGGCCAGAUUUAAGGACCCCUCAGGCCCGUGGGGCUUGAGUUUGACACCCCUGGUCUAGAUGAACUUUUAUGUUCAUCUAGAACUUUUAUGCUUAACUUCUAGGAAUGGGAUGCUGGGGGAAACAGGUUUAAUUAAGACAUACUUCCCCUUCUUACCAUAUUGUUUACAGAAGUAUAUUAUUUUCUAAACUGAAAGACUUUAAAGUAAUAAUAAUAAUAAUAAUAGCUCAAGGAUUUAUGGCUGAUGGAUUACCAAGCCUAUGGAAUGUCAAAUCAUAAUUUUAUGUAUAACUAGUGAAAAGUGGACAUUGAAGAGGGGAAGAAUUUGGCUUCUUCAGGUUCUCCCACCUCUUUCCUACCUACCUCCCCUUUCCUUUGUUCCUUCCUAUCUUGCUUGCUUUCCCUCUUUGUUUUGCUGCUUCCUCCCUUCCCCUUCUCCCCUUUUUCCUUUCAUCUUUCUUUCAUCCCUCUCUCUUCCUUCCAUUUCUUCAUUUCUCCCUUUAUCCUUCCUUCCCUUCCCAGCAGAGAGCUGCUGGUUGGUGGGGGAGGGAACAGGGGAUUGCAGGAAAGGCCAGGAAUUUGUUCAGGAAUGUUGAAAAUGAGGAUCAUGUGACUACAGCAGCAUGGCAGUGGCAGGGCUGAAGCAGCAACAGCCCAGCAGUGGUAAAGCAGCCACAACUUUUCCAAAUUUAUUUUCCUAGGAAGCAAUGGGUCCUAGCAUUCUGUAAGUUAGUUUAUUUGAAGUACCUUGGCUGAAAAGAUUUUGCCUUGUGAUACACCAUUUCCACCAGUUAAAGGUAACAGAGUUUUAAUAGCAUAUAGAUUAUUUAACAAGGUUCUGAGGAGUUUGUUUAUUAAAUGAAUACUCUCCUGUUUACUAGGAGGAAAGUCUGAUAGAGGGGAUGGUACCAAUGUGCAUGUGAUCACUGGGCAGUUUGUAGGUUAGGGUUUUUUUACAGAUUGAUAGUCCUAUGGCACAUAACAGAGAGAGAGAGAAAGGGUUGAAUACCCAGAAGAUAAAGAUGAAAGGAGCAUUUAAGUUCUCCAAGAUUGCUGUGAGGUUAUGAAGGAAGAAUAAUCAGUUUUUUCUCUACUCAUGGGUGAUGCUGGAUAGGGAUGUAAAGAUGCCAGGGAGUCCAUGAAGCUUGCCUUGAAACUGUCCCUCAUGAAGCAUGAGGGUUGGCACCAUGAAUCUCUGACUCAUUUAUUUGCUUGUUUGUUUAUAUCCCGCCUUGAUUUUUUUAUAAAUAACUCAAGGCGGCAAACAUAUCUAAAAUUCUUUCUUCCUCCUAUUUUUCCUACAGCAACAAUCCAGUAAGAUGAGUCGGGUUGAGAGAGUCACUGGCCCAGAGUCACCCAGCUGUCUUUCAUGGCUAAGGCAGGACUAGAAUUCAUGCUGUCCCAGUUUCUAGCCUGUUCCUUAACCACUAGACCAAAUUAGCUCUCUCUCGGGCCUGGGACAGUGCAAUUUAUGUUGAUAUAUUGUUUUGCUAACGCAAGAGCGGAAGAUGUGGAGACACCUGGCCAUAGAAUUGCCAAGAGCAGGACUCGACUGAAUGGAUAACAUCAUCAUUGUUUUGCUCGCUCAAGGAUGAAAGAGAUGCAUAGAUUUAUGUUGUGCUUAUGAGGAAUUAUCUUGUGGACAAAUGUCAUAAUAGAGAAAUUAAUGAAGCAAGUCCAAGCUAAAAAAAUAGGCAGACCCAAAGGACUUCUGUGGAAUACAAUGUACCUUUAUUUUAUAGUAAUAAGAACAGAAUGCAAUUUUCAUAUAUGCAUUGAACGGUUUAGAAGAGAAAUUGAUUAAAAGAAUGUAGACAUUUGGGAUUAUUUUAUUUCCUUUAUGAUUAUAAAAUCUUACCUCAUAA